rnacentral:rRNA from 1 species
GUGAACGCUGGCGGUAGGCCUAACACAUGCAAGUCGAACGGCAGCGCAGUAAGAGCUUGCUCUUCCGGGUGGCGAGUGGCGGACGGGUGAGGAAUACAUCGGAAUCUACUUUUUCGUGGGGGAUAACGUAGGGAAACUUACGCUAAUACCGCAUACGACCUACGGGUGAAAGCAGGGGAUCUUCGGACCUUGCGCGAUUGAAUGAGCCGAUGUCGGAUUAGCUAGUUGGCGGGGUAAAGGCCCACCAAGGCGACGAUCCGUAGCUGGUCUGAGAGGAUGAUCAGCCACACUGGAACUGAGACACGGUCCAGACUCCUACGGGAGGCAGCAGUGGGGAAUAUUGGACAAUGGGCGCAAGCCUGAUCCAGCCAUACCGCGUGGGUGAAGAAGGCCUUCGGGUUGUAAAGCCCUUUUGUUGGGAAAGAAAAGCAGCAGGUUAAUACCCCGCUGUUCUGACGGUACCCAAAGAAUAAGCACCGGCUAACUUCGUG